rnacentral:rRNA from 1 species
GAUCAGGCUGUUGGUGAGGUAAUGGCCCACCAAACCUGUAACCGGUACGGGCUCUGAGAGGAGGAGCCCGGAGAUGGGCACUGAGACAAGGGCCCAGGCCCUAUGGGGCGCAGCAGGCGCGAAACCUCUGCAAUAGGCGAAAGCUUGACAGGGUUACUCUGAGUGAUCUCCGUUAAGGAGAUCUUUUGGCACCUCUAAAAAUGGUGCAGAAUAAGGGGUGGGCAAGUCUGGUGUCAGCCGCCGCGGUAAUACCAGCACCCCGAGUGGUCGGGACGUUUAUUGGGCCUAAAGCAUCCGUAGCCGGUUCUACAAGCCUUCCGUUAAAUCCACCUGCUCAACAGAUGGGCUGCGGAAGAUACUAUAGAGCUAGGAGGCGGGAGAGGCAAGCGGUACUCGAUGGGUAGGGGUAAAAUCCGUUGAUCCAUUGAAGACCACCAGUGGCGAAGGCGGCUUGCCAGAACGCGCUCGACGGUGAGGGAUGAAAGCUGGGGGAGCAAACCGGAUUAGAUACCCGGGUAGUCCCAGCUGUAAACGAUGCAGACUCGGUGAU